rnacentral:misc_RNA from 1 species
UACGGAGGAUCCAAGCGUUAUCCGGAUUCACUGGGUUUAAAGGGUGCGUAGGUGGAAAUGUAAGUCAGUGGUGAAAGCCCACAGCCUAACUGUGGAACUGCCAUUGAUACUGCUUUUCUUGAGUAUAGUUGAAGUGGGCGGAAUACGUCAUGUAGCGGUGAAAUGCAUAGAUAUGACGUAGAACACCGAUUGCGAAGGCAGCUCACUAAGCUAUUACUGACACUCAUGCACGAAAGCGUGGGGAGCGAACAGG